ACACACACACAAAAACUUAAUCUCUCCAGCUCCCCGCCCCUCCCCCUCCCGCCCUUCCCUCCCCUCCCUUCCCUGUCUCUCCCCUCCCCUCCCCACCCUACCCCUCCCCUUCCCUUCCUCCUCCUCCCCUCGCCGCCGAGCCUCUUCCUACUUCCCCCCCCACCCCACCCCCUUCCUCCGCCCACCCGGCUCCCGAUGCUCCCCACCCCAGUCCCAGCCCCGCGCCCGCUCGCCGGGAGGGGGGCUGCGCUGGGGGUCCCCGGCCCGCGCUCGCCCCGCGCCGCGCUCACCCCCAAGAGGAUGCUAAUUCCAACUUGGAUCGGGGGAGGGAGCGUCCUGGAUGCCGAGCGCCUCCCGGCUAUUUGCUCUUCUUUAUUUGUUUUCUCCUCCCGGGAAGGAGGAGGAAAACGGAGAGAAAGGGAAAGGGAAAGAAGCGGCGCCGGCCGCGUCUCCCGGUGCCCGCCGGCUGCGCAGGAGCGAGGCGGGAGGCGAGAGGAGCCGGAAUCACUUUUUCCUGCUGGUCUGAGGUAAAUAGGGAAACCCAGUUGCUCCGAAAGCUUCAUUUGUUCUGGUGACCUUGUUAAUCAAGCUUCAAGAGUGGGAGGAGUUUGAAAUGUACACACUUUGCUGGUGAGUAGAGAAGAGGCUUUUCUUUAUUCUGGGGAACUCAAGGCGUUUGCCUGGGACCCUCCCUCCCCGGUUGGUAUGGACAGGGAAGGGUGCCUUGAUGUCUUCGGGUUUGAUUCUGUUUUCUUCGGGGUUAACCGGCUCUCUGGGGUCACGGCUCUCUUUCGAUGCAUAAAGUUCAAACUCCUUAUCAAAGUGAUAUCUCCCCUGUUUAGAGAGUCUCUCUUCCUUUCUGGGUGCUCUUCCCCCAUGGAUACAGAGGACCUCUUAACUUUCAGGUGCUUUCUGUGUCCUCCGUGAAGCCAUGGGUUCCAAUCCUGCCACAGGCCAUCAGUCUCCAGUCACUUCCUUCGGCCACCCUGCCCACACCCCCCAUCCCGGCCCCAAAGGCAGGCAGCAAGAGCGAGCCCCGAUUCUCCCUUAACCCAUUGGAGUUGCUGUCAUCUCCACCACUCCUGUAAAGAAAAUAAAGUGCAUCUCUCUUGAAGAACUAAUGGUUUG
rnacentral:lncRNA from 1 species